CAUCUAUCCAUUAUUACUCAUUUCUUACCUUCCAAAAAAAAUAUGCUAAAACCGUAAACUCAGCAUCACUGCAGAAUCUCCAUCGGUUUCUAAGGCCGGAGGCGCGUGGAAGGUCGAAUGACGAAUCUAAUAUUUUGUAUUUAGCUUUAACUAAAGAUGUUAUUUUGAGUAAAGUAUUUUAAAUAAAAUAUUUAUUUCUUUAUUUUCACAUUAAAUAUUUAUUUAUAGUCAUGAUUUUUCGCGUGCAUU